UACAGAGGUCCCAAGCGUUGUUCGGAUUCAUUGGGCGUAAAGGGUGCGUAGGCGGCGCGGUAAGUCGGGUGUGAAAUCUCGGGCUUAACUCCGAAACUGCAUUCGAUACUGCCGUGCUUGAGGACUGGGAGAGGAGACUGGAAUUUACGGUGUAGCGGUGAAAUGCGUAGAUAUCGUAAGGGAAGACCAGUGGCGAAGGCGGGUCUCUGGACAGUUCCUGACGCUGAGGCACGAAGGCCAGGGGAGCAAACGGG
rnacentral:rRNA from 1 species